rnacentral:tRNA from 4 species
GGGGAUGUAGCUCAGUUUUGGUAGAGUGUUCGCUUUGCAAUCUGCAAAAUUGCGAAAUGUCCGGGGAUCGAAGCCCCGCUUCUCCA